UUGGAGGGCAAGUCUGGUGCCAGCAGCCGCGGUAAUUCCAGCUCCAAUAGCGUAUAUUAAAGUUGUUGCAGUUAAAAAGCUCGUAGUUGAAUUUCGGGAUCAAAUUGUCGGUCGUGCCUCGGUACGCACUGGUAUUAUUGGUUCCUACCUUCUGAAGAACCGCGAUGUCAUUAAUUUGGUGUCGCGGGGAAUCAGGACUGUUACUUUGAAAAAAUUAGAGUGUUUAAAGCAGGCUUACGCUUGAAUACAUUAGCAUGGAAUAAUGAAAUAGGACGUUUGAUUCUAUUUUGUUGGUUUCUAGGAUUGACGUAAUGAUUAAUAGGGAUAGUUGGGGGCGUUAGUAUUCAAUUGUCAGAGGUGAAAUUCUUGGAUUUAUUGAAGACUAACUACUGCGAAAGCAUUUGCCAAGGAUGUUUUCAUUAAUCAAGAACGAAAGUUAGGGGAUCGAAGACGAUCAGAUACCGUCGUAGUCUUAACCAUAAACUAUGCCGACUAGGGAUCGGAUGAUGUUAAUUUUUUAAUGACUCAUUCGGCGCCUUACGGGAAACCAAAGUGUUUGGGUUC
rnacentral:rRNA from 1 species